GCAUUAACACGAGCACUCAGGAAUGGCCACUGGACGAUGACAGCUUUCUCCAAGGCAGAGGAGCACGCAGUAUUUACGCGGCCGCCGUGGUUUUGAGAUGGCAACGAGGUGCUCUAUUUGGUAGGCUUCUUGACCCACAACUACCUGGGUGUGGAGUAAUUAGGCAAAGUCCGUGAAGCCGUAAAGUAAUAUUAAAAAUUUAUGACCAAGG
rnacentral:lncRNA from 1 species